GCAAGUCGAACGAAGUAGCAAUACUUAGUGGCAGACGGGUGAGUAACAUGUAGGUAUCUACCCUUUGGCCUGGAAUAACACGAGGAAACUUGUGCUAAUACCGGAUAAGUCUUUACGGAGAAAGCUUUAUGCACCAUUGGAUGAGCCUGCACUUGAUUAGUUUGUUGGUAGGGUAAUGGCCUACCAAGACUGUGAUCAAUAGCUGAUUUGAGAGGAUGAUCAGCCACAUUGGGACUGAGACACGGCCCAAACUCCUACGGGAGGCAGCAGUGGGGAAUCUUGCACAAUGGAGGAAACUCUGAUGCAGCGAUGCCGCGUGAGUGAAGAAGGCCCUUGGGUUGUAAAGCUCUUUCGUCGGGGAAGAAAAUGACUGUACCCGAAUAAGAAGGUCCGGCUAACUUCGUGCCAGCAGCCGCGGUAAUACGAAGGGACCUAGCGUAGUUCGGAAUUACUGGGCUUAAAGAGUUCGUAGGUGGUUGAAAAAGUUGGUGGUGAAAUCCCAGAGCUUAACUCUGGAACUGCCAUCAAAACUUUUCAGCUAGAGUUUGAUAGAGGAAAGCAGAAUUUCUAGUGUAGAGGUGAAAUUCGUAGAUAUUAGAAAGAAUACCAAUUGCGAAGGCAGCUUUCUGGAUCAAUACUGACACUGAGGAACGAAAGCAUGGGUAGCGAAGAGGAUUAGAUACCCUCGUAGUCCAUGCCGUAAACGAUGUGUGUUAG
rnacentral:rRNA from 1 species